rnacentral:rRNA from 1 species
ACGGCUCAGUAACACGUGGCUAACCUACCCUUAGGACGGGGACAACCCCGGGAAACUGGGGCUGACAUCGAUAGGUGAGGAGGCCUGGAAUGGUUCCUCCCUGAAAAGGCGUUGAAACCAUGCUUUUCAGCGUCGCCUAAGGAUGGGGCCGCGCCCGAUCAGGUUGUUGGUGGGGUAACGGCUCACCAAGCCAUUAACCGGUACGGGCCGUGAGAGCGGGAGCCCGGAGAUGGGCACUGAGACAAGGGCCCAGGCCCUACGGGGCGCAGCAGUCGCGAAAACUCCGCAAUGCGCGAAAGCGUGACGGGGCUACCCCGAGUGCCGUCCGCUGAGGAUGGCUUUUCCCCAGUGUAAUGAGCCGGGGGAAUAAGGAGAGGGCAAGACUGGUGUCAGCCGCCGCGGUAAUACCAGCUCUCCGAGUGGUAGGGACAAUUAUUGGGCUUAAAGCGUCCGUAGCCGGCUUGGCAAGUCUCCUGUUAAAUUCAGCGACUUAAUCGUUGAGCCGCGGGAGAUACUACUAGGCUAGGAGGCGGGAGAGGCCGACGGUAUUCCCGGGGUAGGGGUGAAAUCCUAUAAUCCCGGGAGGACCACCAGUGGCGAAGGCUGUCGGCUAGAACGCGCUCGACGGUGAGGGACGAAAGCUGGGGGAGCGAACCGGAUUAGAUACCCGGGUAGUCCCAGCCGUAAACGAUGCGGGCUAGGUGUUGAGGUGGCUACGAGCCACUUCAGUGCCGCAGGGAAGCCAUUAAGCCCGCCGCCUGGGGAGUACGGCCGCGAGGCUGAAACUUAAAGGAAUUGGCGGGGGAG